rnacentral:lncRNA from 1 species
UGUCCUUCAUUUUUGCUAAUGUGCUUUUCUAUAUGCCUGUUUGUGUUUCUUCAAUACAUAUAACGUGGCUCUGUAUUUAUACAGCCUGUCAAUGUUCUAUUAUAAUUUUUGAAUUUUUGAUGUUUAUUUUAGCUAUGUGCAAGACUAAGGUCUAAAUGUCUUUUGUCUUUCUUUAAUACAUAUGACGUGUCUCUGUUCUUAUACAUCCCUUUAUUAUGCUAUUGUGAUCAUGAAUUUUUGUAUUAUCUUUCAUAUUUGCUAAUGUGCCUUGCCUAUAUGUCUUUUUGUGCUUUUUUGUUAAUAUUUGUUUCUUUGCAUAGUGAUAAAGAUUAUAACACAAUGUUGGCUGAUGUUACCUAAUUUUUUUGGACAUUUUUACCUUUUAUGUCUGUUUGUUUUGUUUACUCAUCUUUGUCAAUAUAAUGGUGUUGAUUCGACUGUCAAGUGACCGAUUUAGCUAGCUAUAAAACCAGGUUUCUAGAAAAGAAAAUGCCUGUCCCAAAUACGGAAUAUGACAGUUGUUAUCUUUUCGUUUGGUGCUUGAGCUUUUAAUUUUGUCAUUUGAUUAGGGACAUUCCG